GCCCACGUAGCUCAAUUGGUCAGAGCAUCGCUCUUACACAGCGAGGGUUGCACGUUCGAGUCGUGCCGGGGGUACCA
rnacentral:tRNA from 1 species